AUUGAACGCUCGCGGGAUGCUUUACACAUGCAAGUCGAACGAGUGGCGGACGGGUGAGUAAUAUAUCGGAACGUGCCCAGUAGCGGGGGAUAACUACUCGAAAGAGUGGCUAAUACCGCAUACUCUUGGAGCGGCCGAUAUCGGAUUAGCUAGUUGGUGGGGUAAAGGCUCACCAAGUCAACGAUCCGUAGCUGGUUUGGGAGGACGACCAGACAUACGGGGGCUGGGACACGGGCAAGACUCCAAGGGGAGGAAGCAGUGGGGAAUUUUGGACAGUGGGGGAAGGCAUGAUGAAGCCAUUUGUGAUGUAUGAGAAGGCCUUGGCGUUGUAAAGUAAGUCCGGCAGAGAAGCGGUAUAGCCAGAAUAAGAACCGGCUAACUACGUGCCAGCAGCCGCGGUAAUUC
rnacentral:rRNA from 1 species